rnacentral:rRNA from 1 species
UACGUAGGCAGCGAGCGUUGUUCGGAAUUACUGGGCGUAAAGAGUGUGUAGGCGGUGCUCCAAGUUCGGUGUGAAAUCUCCCGGCUUAACUGGGAGGGUGCGCCGGAAACUGGAGUGCUCGAGCGUGGGAGAGGAAAGCGGAAUUCCUGGUGUAGCGGUGAAAUGCGUAGAUAUCAGGAGGAACACCUGCGGUGUAGACGGCUUUCUGGACCAUUGCUGACGCUGAGACACGAAAGCGUGGGUAGCAAACAGG